AGCUCCAGGAGCACAUAUGAUAGUUGCUGCAGUUAAAAAGUUCGUAGUUUGAGAAGAUGCCUGCGAGUAAAAUACACUACUUAAAAGUGUAAUUAGCGCAGCUAGUCUCUAGAGAGGAACAGAAGAAGGUGGUUGUAUUGGGCAGCGAAAGGUGAAAAUUGGCGACCUGCUCAGGACAAACCGAGGCGAAAGCGACCACCUAGUAUGUAUCCG
rnacentral:rRNA from 1 species